UCAGAGGGCGAUUCCCAACUCUGCCUGAGUAACUGAUCCCAUCCGUACACCCCAUGGCUACAUUCCUUGGUAUUCAUUUCCCUGGAGAGGGCUGUGAAAGAAUCAAGUAAUGGUUUCUAGUGCAUGGAAAAGAUCUUCUGUAAUGGCUCAGGAUGCUUUAUUCUUAUCUAUUGGUAAGCACUCUCCUACAGACUUCCAUUACACCUGACAGACAGACACAAAUUCAACAAGACAGGCUGGCAUAAGGUCACUCAGAUGUGAGGUUUCAGUCCCUAAAGGUUUCUAGGGUACUGCUGAAGAAAAGGUAGAAAGGCAAGGCAGUGGGAGAGGGGUUCAGACACACACACAGAGCUCCUGAAUCUGAACUCCAGAGAAUGAAUAUAUAUAUAU
rnacentral:lncRNA from 1 species